rnacentral:rRNA from 1 species
GUAGGGAAUAUUGGUCAAUGGACGAAAGUCUGAACCAGCCAUUCCGCGUGCAGGAAGAAGAUUCUAUGGAUUGUAAACUGCUUUUAGCAGAGAAGAAACGCCUUCAUUGAUGAGGGUUUGACGGUAUCUGCGGAAUAAGCACCGGCUAACUCCGUGCCAGCAGCCGCGGUAAUACGGGGGGUGCAAGCGUUAUCCGGAAUCACUGGGUUUAAAGGGUGCGUAGGCGGGAAAUUAAGUCAGUGGUGAAAGUCUGUUGCUUAACGAUAGAAUUGCCGUUGAUACUGAUUUUCUUGAAGUGGGUUGAGGUUAGCGGAAUGUGACAUGUAGCGGUGAAAUGCAUAGAUAUGUCAUGGAACACCAAUUGCGAAGGCAGCUAGCUGGGCCUUGAUUGACGCUGAGGCACGAAAGCGUGGGUAGCGAACAGGAUUAGAAACCCGGGUAGUCC